GCCGCGUUAGCUCAGUUGGCAGAGCAGCUGUCUUGUAAACAGCAGGUCGCCGGUUCGAGCCCGGCACGCGGCU
rnacentral:tRNA from 1 species